GAGUUUGAUCAUGGCUCAGGACGAACGCUGGCGGCGUGCUUAACACAUGCAAGUCGAACGAGGCCCUGCCUUCGGGCAGGUGACCUAGUGGCGAACGGGGUGAGUAACACGUGGGCAACCUACCCUCAGCUCUGGGAUAACCCCGGGAAACCGGAGCUAAUACCGGAUAUGACCUGGAACGACAUCGUUCUUGGUGGAAAGUUUUUCGGCUGAGGAUGGGCCCGCGGCCUAUCAGCUUGUUGGUGGGGUAAUGGCCUACCAAGGCGACGACGGGUAGCCGGCCUGAGAGGGCGAUCGGCCACACUGGGACUGAGACACGGCCCAGACUCCUACGGGAGGCAGCAGUGGGGAAUAUUGCGCAAUGGGCGAAAGCCUGACGCAGCGACGCCGCGUGAGGGAUGAAGGCCUUCGGUUGUAAACCGUCUUUCUAGCAGGACGAAGACGAAGUAGACGGUACCGUCGCAGAAGAAGACACCGGCC
rnacentral:rRNA from 1 species